rnacentral:rRNA from 1 species
CUACGGGAUGCAGCAGUCGAGAAUCUUCCGCAAUGGGCGAAAGCCUGACGGAGCGACGUCGCGUGUUCGAAGAAGUCCUUCGGGAUGUAAAGAACUUUUAUAGGGGGAGAAGUGCGCUUGCGCAUUGACGGUACCCUAUGAAUAAGGGGAGGCUAAUCACGUGCCAGAAGCCUCGGUAAUACGUGAUCCCCGAGCGUUAUCCGGAUUUAGUGGGCGUAAAGAGUUCGUAGGUUUUUUGUUAAGUUUUUUGUUAAAUAUCAGGGCUUAACCUUGAAAGUGCAAAAAAAACUGGCAAAAUAGAGGGCGUUAGAGGCUGAUAGAACGGUCAAAGUAGGGGUGAUAUCCGUUGAUAUUGACCGGAAUACCAAAAGCGAAGGCAUUCAGCUGGGGCGACCCUGACAUUGAGGAACGAAAGCGUAGGUAGCAAAGAGGAUUAGAUACCCGGGUAGUC